rfam:Firmicutes bacterium CAG:534 genomic scaffold, scf123
UAUUGAGGUAGAGGUUGCGUGUUUUAAGAGUAAUUUUUUGGAUGUGACAGGCACAGGAGAAGGAAAAUGAAAGGGAAAUACGCCGAAAGGAUCUGCAUCCUAUGUGUGCAGGUACUUGGGCAUACAGUUAAGAGCUGUGUGACUGUCAUCAGAAAUGAUGGGGCGCUAUCCGAUGA